rnacentral:lncRNA from 1 species
AGGCACGAUCUGCUGCACCAGUCCAGGCUCCAUCUGGCAGCCCUGCACCUGAGGCACCAAAGCAUGGUGAAGCUCCAUCACCAUCAAAUGUAGCACCACCUAACGCACCAAAGCAAGGUGAAGGUCCACCAUCAUCAAAUGCAGCACCACCCAACGCACCAAAACAAGGGGAAACUUCAUCACCAUUAAAUGCAACAUCACCCGUGGAACCAAAGCAAGGGGAAACUCCACCAGCAUCAAAUGCAACGGC